rnacentral:tRNA from 1 species
UCCAGGGGCGGGAAUCGAACCCACACCCUUCUGCUUACCGGGCAGGUGCCUUGUCCACUCGGCUUAG